rnacentral:tmRNA from 1 species
GGGGGCGAUCUGGGUUCGACAUGGAUUCCGAAGCCGAUGGUGCCGUGCCGAGGUGCUCGAACAGCCUCGUUAAAGAAUCUCGGGAAACCAACAAUUGCCAACGACAACGUUGAGCUUGCACUGGCUGCGUGAAAACGCUCUAGGGCAACAAUGAUCUCUUAGUAGAUCACGUCGACCGGGAGGCCUCGCCUGUGGGUCCCCGGCGGCGUAAAAACAGCAGGCUUGGGCAGCGAGAGAUCCCUCUUCGCGAGUUGCCGACAUAAACGAAGGGGCCUCCGCGUACGUGGCGUGUUCAUGGGCAGCGGGCGAGGAGGUAAAGCCAUAAACGUGGACUACGCACGUAGAGCUGUCGAUGUGGACGGUUCGUGGACGCGGGUUCGAUUCCCGCCGCCUCCA